GACAGAGGGUGCAAACGUUGUUCGGAAUUACUGGGCGUAAAGCGCGUGUAGGCGGCUAAGUAAGUCGGGCGUGAAAUCCCACGGCUCAACCGUGGAAGUGCACUCGAAACUGCAUAGCUAGAGUCCUGGAGAGGAAGGUGGAAUGCUUGGUGUAGAGGUGAAAUUCGUAGAUAUCAAGCGGAACACCCGUGGCGAAGGCGGCUUUCUGGGACGGUACUGACGCUGAGACGCGAAAGCGUGGGGAGCGAACAGG
rnacentral:rRNA from 1 species